AGGCUAAAACAGUCAGGAUGUUGGCUUAGAAGCAGCCAUCAUUUAAAGAAAGCGUAAUAGCUCACUGAUCGAGUCGUCCUGCGCGGAAGAUGUAACGGGGCUAAGCCAGUUACCGAAGCUGCGGAUUCACAGUUUACUGUGAGUGGUAGGAGAGCGUUCUGUAAGCCUGCGAAGGUGGCUUGUAAAGGCUGCUGGAGGUAUCAGAAGUGCGAAUGCUGACAUGAGUAGCGUUAAAGGGGGUGAAAAGCCCCCUCGCCGAAAGCGCAAGGUUUCCUACGCAACGUUCAUCGGCGUAGGGUGAGUCGGCCCCUAAGGCGAGGCAGAGAUGCGUAGCUGAUGGGAAACAGGUUAAUAUUCCUGUACCGAUCUAUGGUGCGAUGUGGGGACGGAGAAGGUUAGCUCAGCCAACUGUUGGAAUAGUUGGUUCAAGCAUGUAGGCGUGCUCUUUAGGCAAAUCCGGAGAGCUUAGCUGAGGUGUGAUAACGAGGCUGCUUGCAGCCGAAGUGAGUGAUACCCUGCUUCCAGGAAAAGCCACUAAGCUUCAGCCAUAGAUUGACCGUACCGCAAACCGACACUGGUGCGCGAGAUGAGUAUUCUAAGGCGCUUGAGAGAACUCUGGAGAAGGAACUCGGCAAAUUGACACCGUAACUUCGGAAGAAGGUGUGCCUUUAGUAGGUGAAGCCCCCGCGGGUGGAGCCCAAUGAGGUCGCAGAGAAUCGGUGGCUGCAACUGUUUAAUAAAAACACAGCACUCUGCAAAGACGAAAGUCGACGUAUAGGGUGUGACGCCUGCCCGGUGCUGGAAGAUUAAUUGAUGGGGUGCAAGCUCUUGAUCGAAGUCCCAGUAAACGGCGGCCGUAACUAUAACGGUCCUAAGGUAGCGAAAUUCCUUGUCGGGUAAGUUCCGACCUGCACGAAUGGCGUAAUGAUGGCCACACUGUCUCCUCCAGAGACUCAGCGAAGUUGAAAUGUUUGUGAUGAUGCAAUCUCCCCGCGGAAAGACGGAAAGACCCCAUGAACCUUUACUGUAGCUUUACAUUGGACUUUGAACAGAUCUGUGUAGGAUAGGUGGGAGGCUUUGAAGCCAGGACGCUAGUUCUGGUGGAGCCGACGUUGAAAUACCACCCUGGUGUGUUUGAGGUUCUAACCU
rnacentral:rRNA from 1 species